UUCAAUGGCCGAAUCCUUGCACCCCCUUCAAAACCUGCAACACAAAGAGAAACCCGAAACACUAGUAACAACAAAGAUCUAAAAUGAUCUUUGUUGGUUAUAGAAAAGAAAACCCGAAAACACUACAGAAAAAUAAAGGAGAACACAACAAAGUUUGAUCUCGGAGUUCCCCUUGAAAUCAAGAGUACAUCUCCGUCAAGCUUCCCUCAAAGACGCUUGAUUCUUCACUAUGAUGUCAAAACCGGUUACAAGUUCAUGGAGAUUCCAUGCUACAAAACACAGCAGGUAAUCUCUUUCUCUUCACUUUAUUUCUCUUUGUUUUUCUUACAAUAUCUCUCACUAACUCUCUAUAUUUUUCUCUCUUGUUUCUGAGGUGGGUUACACAAAGAAAACAAAGGUUGCUGCCUUUUUUUUUUCUGCUUGGCCGAAAUGGUGUGUUGCUCAAAGUGGAAGGUGUUGUUGAAUCUUCUUGCUUCCCCGAGCUCUGAUACCACUGUAGGAAAUUUGCUGCAGUUCCCAACAGCCCCCCUACACCCAAACACCUAACGUUCAACUACUAGGGGUAGAUUCGUCAUUUUUGUUUGAUGCGGAUCCAAAAGAGCAUAUUCUCUUUUCAAAAUCUGAUACCCCUUUUUCUCUUUCUUUAGUCAAAACCCUACUGCCAUUAAUCAAGACCAUAUAUAAUCUUUCUUUUCUUUUUCCUUAGAAAAACCUAGCAUUAAAAUCAUCUCUUCAAAGCACACACAACCAGCCGGCCCUAUUCUUCUCCUCUCCUUCUUCUAUUUUCUUUGAACAGCAAGAACACAACCUAGCCAAGCCUCUUCUUCUUCCUUCUUCUCUCUUGCUGAAAAACGCAGCAAGCUUCUCCCUUGCUGAAAAACGCAGCAAGCUUCUCCCUUGCUGAAAAAACGCAGCAAGCUUUCGUUCUCCUUCCUUCCUUCUUCAAGCUACAGCAGUAGCUUCAAUGGCCGAAUCCUUGCACCCCCUUCAAAACCUGCAACACAAAGAGAAACCCGAAACACUAGUAACAACAAAGAUCUAAAAUGAUCUUUGUUGGUUAUAGAAAAGAAAACCCGAAAACACUACAGAAAAAUAAAGGAGAACACAACAAAGUUUGAUCUCGGAGUUCCCCUUGAAAUCAAGAGUACAUCUCCGUCAAGCUUCCCUCAAAGACGCUUGAUUCUUCACUAUGAUGUCAAAAACGUUAACAAGUUCAUGGAGAUUCCAUGCUACAAAACACAGCAGGUGGGUUACACAAAGAAAACAAAGGUUGCUGCCUUUUUUUUUCUGCUUGGCCGAAAUGGUGUGUUGCUCAAAGUGGAAGGUUGAACCACUUAUUUAUAAUGUUGUUGUUGUUGUUGUGUUUGUUUCUGAUCUGAGAAAGUUUGUUGUAAUCUGUUUGAGAUAUUUUCCUUGUAAAGCUGAAAGUUGUUAGAGUCUUGAGAUAUUUAUUUGCUUCCUUUUAUUGUUAAGAAAUAAAAGACCUAAGCCUAGGAAAACAGAACCGACAACUCUAUGAGUUAUAAUGGUCUGUUGAGGCUUUAUAAAGAGGUCUAUUUUAUUUUCCUUGUAACUUUAUUUAUGGGACAAUAGUAUGGGAAUUUAUCCAACAU